AAUAUAUGUAGUAUCUUAAUGGGUCUUAGAGGAAAGGACAAACGCGGCUUUCGACUUCCCGAUUCACACUCUUCGGCUUCUACACUCGCUCGCUCUCGCUUCUCAAUUCACACUCUGCACACCUUUUGCAUCCGUUCUCUCCGGCUUCUCAACUAAUACUGACUUUAACGUCUCUUUGUCUUUUCCCGCCGUUCGAGACACGUGUCCCGAAACGCCCGUGGCCAGGGUCACGCGGGCCCUUUCCACGAAACUAUCCACUUAAAAAGGACCGACGACACAUUGAUGUACCCGACGAUGCCGC
rnacentral:misc_RNA from 1 species